CAAGGCCUGUAGCUCAGUGGUUAGAGAAUUUGCUUUGCAUGCAGAAGGUCCCAGGUUCAGUCCUCAGCAUCUUGA